UAUUUCCUCAUACAGUACACGCUACAUUUACGUCGAGUUUACGAGGAAAGCGUAUUUCCUCGUAAAAGCCACGUGACAUUACAUCGACUUUACGACGAAAUGAUUUCGUCGUUAUUUUACGAGGAAAUAACGUUGAUUUUAUAUUUCCUAGUAAGUUCCUCGUAAAAUCGACGUAAAUUUACGAAGAUUAGUUUUUCCCGUUAAGUUUUCUCGCUAAACUUGUGUUUUCUCGUAGUGCAUCGUCAGAGAUGUCUAAGAAAACGCAGUGAUUUCUUUCUUUCUUUUUUGGCAGGAAAAAACGCAGAAAAUGUUGUGAAUUUCUAAAUAUAUAUAACCACCGAAGAUGAUUGUACGAAUAAGUGUCGUGUCGAUAUAAUUACGUUUCUGAACGUAAUUGAUUGAUUUGACCCCCGAGUUAUUUCAUCUACGCAACUCUUGUAUAUAUGAAGUCUUUUUUUGAGGGGUCUAAAGUAUAUAUGAAGUCUUGAUUUUGAUUUUAAAAUUGUUUAGGAAAAUUAAGAUAUGAAGAAAAAGAAAGCUAUGUUUGGAAAAGUGAAAGAUUUAAAUGAUUUUUAACUAACGUUUAACUAGCUAGUUCCCACUUCCCACAUCUUCAUGAUAUGGGUUUAUGCUCGUUUAAGCAGUUACUGAAAUUACAUAAAUGAAAUCUUAUUCUAUGAAUAUCUUAAUUAAGUAUUGAAAUCGUAUUCUAUAAAUAUCUUAAUUAAUCACGAAACAAGGUCUGAAUUACAAAUUUUUAAAUAUACAUAUCAAAUAACGGUUAUAACUACAUGAUUCUAUUAUACAUGAUUUAUCAUAGCUAGAGACAUGCAAUAUUCCUAGUAGUACAAUUAAUAAGUAUAUUACGUGGAAGAAAUGAGUAACGCUUUUAAGUGUAGUUGAAGCAUCCAAGUUACAAAGGGUCCAUUAACCAAAAAAGGCAAAGCAAACCAAAAAAGUUGGCUAAAAGAAAUUGUACUUAGAAACGAAGUGAAUGAUUCUAGCGCGUCUCACCAACUCAUUUAGUUUAAUUUUUAUUUAAAAUCUUUUAUAAUCAUAUUGGAGACUAGAGAGUGAUUAAACUAUUAGAAAACUAUUAUCAUACACGAUAAUAUAUAUAUAACUGAUGAACCAAUUCAUUUGCAAGGUUUUUUUUAGUUAACACCAAGUAUCUGAAUGUUUUCUUUUGGGAGCCGAGAUAUAGCAGAUAUAGACUCACAAUCUUUGCAACUGGAACUACAUGUUAACACCAACUAUCUAUAUGUGAAAAAAAAAAAAAAACUAUCUAUAUGUGCUACCAGUUCUUUUUAAAACAAUAAAGUGAGACAAGUAUCAUCUAAAAGCGAUGUUCCUUUAAGUCGAUCAUUUAAAUGCUUGUUAAUGCCAUGUUUACAAACAUAGUUUGAUUAUCAAAUUUAGUGAGAAUGUUUCAUUUGAUUUAGUCCUGCUUGAGAUUUCAUAGCUAGCGACACCUAAAUUAUCUUGAUUUUUGAAGAGGUCGACGACGAUGCUACUUUUUAAUAAUAUGAAAACAUUAUAAAUUAUUUAUGGACCUACGAUCGCUCAGAUUUAUGGCAACCAAUUUUUUUUGUAUCAACGUCACUAACAGCAAUGUUGGCCUUGGCCUCUCCACAUCUUAGGUCCCAAGCAACUUUUAUUUACUAUCCUUUUUGUCGUUUCUUUUGCUGUUAGCGUCUAAGAGCACCAUUAUCGGGAGCUCUUAAAGUCCGUAUUUAAUGUUUUCAGAUUAAAAAAAAAAAUUAGGUAAUUAAAGAAGAGACGUCGCUUAAUCAAGCCACACAAGAGACGGGUUUUGUGAACACGUGUCAUUAUCUCAUCCCUCUCUCUCUCUCUUUCGUGUCUCCUCGGCGACUUCGAAUCCAUCUGCUGCUCCUCCACGAUGACCUAUCCGCGACGACUCCGACUCCAUCAACCGGCGACUCCGACGAUGACCUCUCCGCGACGACUCUGACGCCAUCAACCGACUCAGAGACUCACUUCUCGUCAACCUCACGUUUUCCUCCGCCGCCGCGUCUUCUUCGCACACAGGUUUCAAAACUCUCAUCUGAUUCUUUACCAAAAGUGAUCGUUUCCUUGUGGCCAGAGUAGUUUGGAGAACUCUUUGCAAGCUUGGGUCUCGGUCGCAUAAUCGAUUAUUAAAACGAGGAUAGCAACCCAGAAAAGAGAAAGAAGUUAAAGAGAAAAAGGAGAAGAACGUGAGAUGGAGAAAGGUGAACUAGAGAAGAAGGAAACAAAGGUGGAGAAGAAGAAGUACACAGUUUGAGAUGGAGUUUCGAAAGAGAGAUCCGGAUCAGAUAUGAGUUUGGGAAAUCACAUAUGGAUUUUCUCUUAAUAGAGGACGUGGCAGGGAAGCCAUAGAAACUGACGUCUCUAUCAUUGGAGUAAUGACUUCGUUGUGGUGUGCCUUGCUUCCUACGCAAGCAUCAGAAGUAGCAGCUCAAAUCUGGGAGGUUCAACUGUUCUGUCGCAGCAAUUUCAAGAAAGCGUGGGAGGUUCAUUUGUAUGCUGAUCUGACUGAAACUUUGUAUAAAUGUAGGGGACACUGCAGACUCAGAAUUCAACGGUGUGAUCGAAAAGUGGACGGUCAGUUUAUUAGUUAUUCAUGUAUUUCUGAACCGGUUUGGUACAUUGUGAAAAGAGUGAUAUUUUGAUGGAUCGUCUUGUUUGGUUGGGAAAUGAGCUCGGACUGAGCUCAUAUUUGGCAGGAACCUUAUGGACUCGUGGAUAUAUGUUCAACUAUAAGGAGAGAGGGUCUGGAGUUCGGGAACAUGGAAAACGAGCGGUACAACGGAUCUGUCCAAAGUUGAGAAAAUGAAAACUUGUCGUCAAGUGGCUAAGGUGAGGGAUUUAUGGGAGCAUAGUUCAUAUUUUUCUGUUAUACUACAUGAGUUAUAUUAUGUAGGCUUAGAUCUGAUUGUUAUUUAGGAAUUCUAUGAUUAUAUGAUUAUAUGGUGAAGGUUGCAAAGUGUGUUACACUUAAUAAGGUUAACUUUACUUGCUAUCUCCUUGGACUUGUUAUUAGUGAAAUUGAUAUAGGGAACAUUGUUUUGAGAUGGUUAAGCUUUUUCAUUUGCUUGUCUA